UCCGUCGCGAGGUGGAAUCUGAAGGACGAGAACCCGUAGGGGUCUGAGGCAAAGUUCCGGGCCGACAAACAGAAACCGCAUAUAAGGUAAAAGCAAGGCGGACGAGUUUCCUAAACAAAACAAAGUCCAAAGGCCGGAAAGGAAGAGAAUAGAUUUCGGCUGUACUGCCCGAACCUUGCAAUGUAAAUGCGGCGGUUACAUGGGAUGAAGGUUAUCGGC
rfam:Termite gut metagenome tgut2b_Contig7166, whole genome shotgun sequence.